UCGAAUCUGUCACUCCCUGUUUUCACUUAUAAAAAACUCGGAAAACUUCAGUAGAGACUUCUAUAAUCGUCAAUUACAGCAAAGAUACUAGUGAUUUACUGCCAAUAAUACUUGGAAGAUAAUUUUGUUGUAAUCAUCGUCGUCUGGCAUACUUAAUAUUUGCUUAAUAUCAGUGAAAAAUGUUUAUUUUUCCGCACCAAUAGUUUUUCCCAUGUAUUUUUACAAGUACUGUUGCUGAGUUGCACAAUGUUGAUUGGGCUCAUAUUACCAAGGAACUUAUGACGGAAGUACUAUUAGUCUUUUAGUUUGAAUUCGUUCCUCCGGGCUUAAGAAUAAUAAGAUGAAUAGCCAUACAACUGGAAGCGAUUCUAGCUGCUGCGGAAGGCAGUCAGCCAAUAAAAGUGAUUAUGCAUUUUCCCACGAAAAAGAAUGCUCAAUAAAAACUAAUACAUGGAGCUUAGGCAAGGGAUCUCAACAGUUGUUAUGGAGUCUUUCCAGCAAAAGUAAUGUAUCUACGAUGCAGCGGAAUUCCAGCACAUUGCACAAGCGACUAUCCAGCUCUCAUAAUUCAUUAAGUGAUUCGACAACGAAAAAAGUUGACGAUUCAAUAUUCAUUACUCAAGCUAUGUCGCAUGAUGCUUUGGAUGACAACAAAAUAUUAGAUUUUUACAACGUUCCUCUUGACUCGGAUAUAUAUUCUGCACCUAUAGACUACAUUACAAAUCAGUAUACCAUUGAAUCAGUAUUACACAAAACGAAGUCUUGUAAGACAG